rnacentral:rRNA from 1 species
GCUGGCGGCGUGCCUCAGACAUGCAAGUCGAACGAGAAAGUUCCCUUCGGGGAGCGAGUAAAGUGGCGCACGGGUGAGUAACACGUAGGUAAUCUACCUUCGGGUGGGGAAUAACGCAGGGAAACUUGCGCUAACACCGCAUAAUGCAGCGGCACCACAUGGUGACAGUUGUUAAAGCGGGGGAUUUUAGGACCUCGCGCCUGAAGAGGAGCCUGCGGCGGAUUAGCUAGUUGGUAGGGUAACGGCUUACCAAGGCGACGAUCCGUAACCGGCCUGAGAGGGCGGUCGGUCACACUGACACUGACAUACGGGUCAGACUCCUACGGGAGGCAGCAGUCGGGAAUUUUGGGCAAUGGGCGAAAGCCUGACCCAGCAACGCCGCGUGAAGGAUGAAAUCCCUCGGGAUGUAAACUUCGCAAGAAUGGGAAGAAUUAGCAGGGGCUAAUACUCCCUAUGAUGACGGUACCAUUUGUAAGCUCCGGCUAACUCCGUGCCAGCAGCCGCGGUAAUACGGGGGGAGCAAGCGUUGUUCGGAUUUACUGGGCGUAAAGGGCGCGUA